rnacentral:rRNA from 1 species
AACGAACGCUGGCGGCAUGCCUAACACAUGCAAGUCGAACGAAGCCUUCGGGCUUAGUGGCGCACGGGUGCGUAACGCGUGGGAAUCUGCCCUUUGGUUCGGAAUAACAGUUGGAAACGACUGUUAAUACCGGAUGAUGACGAAAGCCCAAAGAUUUAUCGCCAGAGGAUGAGCCCGCGUAGGAUUAGCUAGUUGGUGUGGUAAAGGCGCACCAAGGCGACGAUCCUUAGCUGGUCUGAGAGGAUGAUCAGCCACACUGGGACUGAGACACGGCCCAGACUCCUACGGGAGGCAGCAGUGGGGAAUAUUGGACAAUGGGCGAAAGCCUGAUCCAGCAAUGCCGCGUGAGUGAUGAAGGCCCUAGGGUUGUAAAGCUCUUUUACCCGGGAUGAUAAUGACAGUACCGGGAGAAUAAGCCCCGGCUAACUCCGUGCCAGCCGCCGCGGUAA